CAAGGUCUAGGCCAUCUGUUCAGCUGUCCUGGGCCAUCAGCUCCUCUGGUCCACACCCCUGCAAGGACCAGGAUGGAGUCACCGCCCGCAAUAGAAACUGCCUCCAUAUCCAUGGAUUCUUUCUUUUCUCUUCUCGAAAGAAACGUGAGAUGGCGAAUGGCAGGACCGCGGGUGGGGCAGUUGUGGUGCUGGUGCGGGGAUAGAUCCAAGAACAAUUUAGGACUGAAAACUGGUGGAGUUUGGUGAGCAGUGAAGGAAUCUGCCCAAGAGCACAGUCUGUGUGUGGCAGAGACUGAAUUUGAACCCAGGACAGUCUGACUCAAGCAGCAUCACUCAGGAGGCCAGCGGAAGGAGGUGGAGAGACACCCAGGGAUUGCAGGCAGCCUUUCUCCUGACUCAGUCGGUCCUGAAAUUUCACGACACAGCAAGCCUCCUACGGCAUCACCUGCCUCACCUGUAAAAUUGGGACAGUGACACCUGUCUACACAGCCCAUGGGGUUGAUGUGAGGUUCAAACAAGCACAUGUGGGCCUGACAGGCUUAAAGCACCACAUGGACCAGAGGCAUUAUCAUUUGUCAGAAUCACACCCUGAUAUUAACGUCAAGUAGACAAGGUAAGUGACACUCUCCUGAGACCACAGACAUAAUUAAAAAGAAGGGAGAAAGAAGGAAAAUGGAAGCCACUCUCCCUCACCUUGACCCUGGGGCAUAAAAAUGAGCGCUAACAGCCAUUCACUGAAGUCUGUCCCUGGGUAACAAGAAUCAGCCUUACCCAAAGAGAGGUCUGGCCUCUGCCCUCAGCUCCCAGAAGGUGACCCCUAAGCCCUUGGCAUGUCCUGCCUGAUGAGUGUCUUUGUUUCCGGGGGCCUUGGAUGACACCAGAGACACCAGAUAGUCUUGCAGUAUCAGCUCGACCUCCAGAGGAGCUGGAGACUGAGAGUCUAGAGGAGGGAGCCAGCCAUGUCUGUGUGACCGAGUCCUGAGAAAAGCCCUGGACGCCAAGGCUUGGGGGAGCCGUCCUGGCUGGCGUCCUCCAUGCAUGUUGUCACAUCGUCUCCAGGAGGAGUUAGUACUGUCCGUGACCUACGGAAAGAGGACAGCAGGGAGCUCCAGCGUGUGCAGCCCUCCUGGACUCUGCUCCAUGCGUCUCUUCCCCUGGCUGAUUUUAAUCUGGGUCCCUUCCCUGCAGUAAACUGUACCGGUGAGCAGACUGAGCAGUUCACAGCGGCCUUCACUUGCCCAUGAGCCCAGAGCCAGCAGGUGGAGGAACAGGGUCAACCAGUGCAACUCUCGCCUGGGCACACACAGGUCCCAGUUCACCCGCAGGACCACCCCUCAGGCCAGCCGAGAGCUGCAGGCAGGAUGGCAUGAGGGCCUCGCGCAAUGCUGAGGCUUUGAGCAGCAGCCCACGCAGUGGGUAGUAGGGGGAGACCUUAGCGAGUGCUGGAGAUACUGGGUGGCCCUGUGACCUCACCAUCUCCAACUCUGAGUCGGGCCGCCUGGGACACACAGGCCUGCAGCAGCCCUGAGAACCAAACCUCAGCCCUUUCACAGCCAGGGUCAAACCGGCCCUCGAGGGCAGGAGCUUGGACAGCAAUGAUGCAGCCCCUCCCAGGACAGGACUUUCCUUCAAGGGACCUGGCCAAGGACUGCAUUAAGGGAGGGAGGGGGGGCCGUGCAGGGAGGAGUGGCGGGUGGGGCAGCCCCCCGAGACGAUGCUGUCCAUCGCCGCACCCCUGCUGCCUGCUGGGGCUGGGGAGGGGUAGGAAGGAGGCUGCACACGCAGCAGAUUCCCAGGCAGCCGGGAGACCAAGCUGUGGCUGUCAAUCCUGCCUCCCCAUCUCAGGGAACCCGGCGUGCCCAGUGCCCUCAGCCUCCUGCACACUCACCACACCAGCGAUGUGCCAAGAAAAUCAGCUUUUACAAGAGGAGCAGAUUUAAUGCUGCCCCCUCCCAAACAGCUCUGGGAGCCCUGCAGCCCCCAAAAUGCACAGCCAAGCAAGAAAUCAUGCCCAAAAUCCAGGUUUACAGCGC